AUCCCAGGAAGCUGGGAUCAUGACUUGAGUUGAAGGCAGAUGCUUAACCAAUGAGCCACCUAAGGCACCCCUACAGUUUGAUCUUGAGAAAACUAC